rnacentral:rRNA from 1 species
AUUGAACGCUGGCGGCAGGCCUAACACAUGCAAGUCGAGCGAGCGGCGGACGGGUGAGUAAUGUAUGGGGACUGCCCGAUAGCGGGGGAUCACUAACGGAAACGGUGGCUAAUACCGCAUACUAUCGGAUAACCAAUAUGGGAUUUGCUAGAAGGUGGGGUAAAGGCUCACCUAGGCCACGACCUCUAGCUGGUCUGAGAGGAUGAUCAGCCCCACUGUGACUGAGACACGGCCCAGCCUCCUACGGAUGCAGCAGUGGGGAAUAUUGCACAAUGGGCGCAAGCCUGAUGCAGCCAUGCCGCGUGUAUGAAGAAGGCCUUAGGGUUGUAAAGUACUUUCAGCGGGGAGGCUUUACCCGCAGAAGAAGCACCGGCUAACUCCGUGCCAGCAGCCGCGGUAAUUC